GAUCAUUACCGAGUAAGGGGUCCUCUGGGCCCCAACUCCCCACCCUUUGUGUACGUACUCCGUUGCUUCGGCGGGCCCGCGGCGUGAAAACCCGCCGUCGGCCCAGGCUGACGAGCGCCCGCCAGAGGACCUUCAAAACCUAUUUAUCAGUGUCGUCUGAGUUCAGCUUCGAAUGUAGUAAAACUUUCAACAACGGAUCUCUUGGUUCUGGCAUCGAUGAAGAACGCAGCGAAAUGCGAUAAGUAAUGUGAAUUGCAGAAUUCAGUGAAUCAUCGAAUCUUUGAACGCACAUUGCGCCCCUUGGUAUUCCGAGGGGCACGCCUGUUCGAGCGUCAUUACACCCCUCAAGCUCGGCUUGGUAUUGGGCCCUCGUCCCCAUGGACGUGCCCGAAACUCCUCGGCGGCGGCGCCUUGCUUCAAGCGUAGUGACAUCACAAUCUCGCUUUGGAAGUGGAGGCAUCGCCCGCCGGACGAACCCAAAUCUUUCCAAGUUUGACCUCGGAUCAGGCGGGGAUACCCGCUGAACUUAAGCAUAUCAAUAAGCGGAGGAAAAGAAACCAACAGGGAUUGCCCUAGUAACGGCGAGUGAAGCGGCAACAGCUCAAAUUUGAAAUCUGGCGCCUUCGGUGCCCGAGUUGUAAUUUGCAGAGGAUGCUUCGGCGUCGGCUCCGGUCUAAGUCCCUUGGAACAGGGCGUCACAGAGGGUGAGAAUCCCGUACGUGGCCGGCCGCCUCAGCCAUGUGAAGCUCCUUCGACGAGUCGAGUUGUUUGGGAAUGCAGCUCUAAACGGGAGGUAAAUUUCUUCUAAAGCUAAAUACCGGCCAGAGACCGAUAGCGCACAAGUAGAGUGAUCGAAAGAUGAAAAGCACUUUGAAAAGAGAGUUAAAAAGUACGUGAAAUUGUUGAAAGGGAAGCGCUUGCAGCCAGACUUGACCGCGGAUGCUCAACCGGCCCUUCGGCCGGUGCACUCUUCCGCGGUCAGGCCAGCGUCGGUUUGGGCGGCCGGAUAAAGGCCCCGGGAAUGUAGCUCCUCUCGGGGAGUGUUAUAGCCCGGGGCGUAAUACGGCCAGCCCGGACCGAGGACCGCGCU
rnacentral:rRNA from 2 species